GGCUUCUUAGCUCAGUGGUUAGAGCGUUCGCCUAGUAAGCGAAAGGUCGCGUGUUCGAUUCACGUAGGAGCCU
rnacentral:tRNA from 1 species